UUCAAAAACUUUUUUAACCUAUCACCCGACGUUGGAGUUUUUAACCUGACAUGUUUUUGUAAGAGAAAUUUUUCCACAUGAUCAUUUUUUCACGUGUUCAUCAUUCUUAGUUUUUGACGUCGUACCUGAAGACGCUUUUAGAAAAAGCGAAACAUUCUUGUACCGAAAUUAGAAAAAAAUA